CUCGUGUCUCUGAUAUCUUCCUAUACUGUGUAGGUCACAUGGCCAUCAAGGCAGCAGUGCCCCACAUUUUUAUAUUCCAGCCUGAGGACCAGCCUUUUGUUGGGUUUGUGUCCUGUAGCCGUCUUCCUGGUUGUUUUGCAUGACUGCCUGUCCUCUUAUCCUCCAACUCUCACCUUAACUGUAAUUGCCCCCAGAGAGUCCUUUCUGGCUCUCCUUACCUACAGAGUUCCCCCUUUACCCACUGCCCUGUUUAUUUCCUAACACUUUAACAAGAAUUCUUUCUUACUGCUUUCACAUCUCAUUGCUUGUCUCCACCGCAAAUUUCCUGUGGUGGGAAAAAAAAUCCACUUUGUUAAUUACAACAGCAGUGCACUUAAUGGCAAACAGUAAGCACUCUAGAAAAUUAUUAGCUAAAUGAAUAAAGAUCUGUAAGAUUGUAUUUGAAAAAAUUUCCUGUAGGAAGCAUUGCUUUAAAUGAACAUGGCCGUAAGCCCAAGAGAUACCUUUACAGAGCUUUCUCAUUCAAAUAAGUGUCUUGUGAUGGUUCAAUAGGCAGACUGUAGUGUUCUGCACCAAGAACUCACAACUGUAGCCAAGCCCUUCUCACACAGGCUCUCAGUCUCCCUUGCCUGCAGGUGCACACAGGCCGACACUCGAUGGACACAUGCCGUUGAAAUAAACCGGGACUAACCACUUUGUGUCUCCCAGAGCCCUUACUGUGCCUGCCCCUCUUCCUCUUCCGCUCAGGAAAUCAUGUUAGCAGAUAAUACAAACAGAUUCUGGCUAGAAUUUAUUGGAUGAACAGUCAGAUCCUGAAAUUUAGGAGUUGAAGCAGCAAGCAGUUUGAUGAUACAAGCCAUGGAUCUCAGGGGCCUCAGAAGCAGAUUGUUAUGGAUCUUCCUCUGGAAUGUUGAUGCCUUUAUUUCUCAUUUUUAGUGACCUGUCAUCAGUUGCCAGGAAGACAGGGCUGUGUCCCACAGCAUGAACACUGGUAUCAUUUCUCUGAUUCAGGAGUACUUCACAGGGAAAAGGGAAUGUUGGGAGACUAAUAUAUUUUAAAGUUUCUUUUUUUAUUUUAUUUGAAAUAUUUAUGUAGUAUAGAAAAACUAAUUUUAGUGAUGACAAAUGUUAUUAAUUUAGAUAAUAGUUUACCAUAAAAGAGAGACAUAAGAAAUAUUUAUGUGCUGGGCAGGAGGCAUAACUCAGUGGUAGAAUGCUUGGCUAGCAUGCAUGAGGUCCUGGGUUCAAUCCCAAGAAAACUUCCUUCCCCUAAAAAAAAAAAAAAAUAAUUAUAGGAUGAAAUUUCAGAAUGUCACUGAAAGUUUUUAAAGGUUUUUUUUUGAGACAUGAUUGACAUAUAAUAAAGUCUACAUAUUUAAAGUCAUGGUUUGGUAUAUUUUGGCACUUAUGAUGCACAUCCAGAAAACUGCCACCAUGAUGAAGACAAUGACUGUCUUCCACCCCCGGAUUGUCUCCUUGUGUUUUUGUGUUCCUUCCCUCAGUCCCUGCUAUCCCUAAGCACCUACCACUUAUGUCUCUUAGAUUAACUCGCAUUUUCUAAAGUUUCAUAUAAAUGGGAUCAUACAGUGCACAUUCUUCUGUGUGGCUUUUCUACUCAGCACAACUACAUUGAGACUCAUCCAUGUUGCAGUAUAUAACAGUGCUUUGUUUCUUUAUAUGAAUGGCUAAUACUGAAUAUACAGCUUGUUUAUUUACUUAUUGGCGAGCACUUUACUUACUUCUAUUUGGGGAUGGCAUCAAUAAAAAUGUUUUAAGAA